GGUCUACACAAACACCACCAAGGCAACUGCUUUUGCUCCAGCUCAGAACAUCAAAGUGGCUGCUAUUCUUGAAGAAGAUGCUGAUGCAAUUCAUGUUAAGUCAAUGAGAAUCGCUGGAUUCAUUGCACAAUCCAUCCUAUUUUUGUUU
rnacentral:sRNA from 1 species